GGCGGGAUGGCAGAGUGGCCAUGCACCGGAUUGCAAAUCCGUUUACCCCGGUUCGACUCCGGGUUCCGCCUCCA
rnacentral:tRNA from 1 species